AUACGGAGGGUGCAAGCGUUAAUCGGAAUUACUGGGCGUAAAGGGCGCGUAGGCGGUCUAUCAAGUCAGGUGUGAAAUCUCACGGCUCAACCGUGGAGGUGCAUCUGAAACUGAUAGACUUGAGUAUGGGAGAGGAAAGUGGAAUUCCCGGUGUAGAGGUGAAAUUCGUAGAUAUCGGGAGGAACACCAGUGGCGAAGGCGACUUUCUGGACCAAUACUGACGCUGAGGCGCGAAAGCGUGGGGAGCAAACAGGAUUAGAAACCCUAGUAGUCC
rnacentral:rRNA from 1 species